rnacentral:rRNA from 1 species
AACGAACGCUGGCGGCAUGCCUAACACAUGCAAGUCGAACGAGACCUUCGGGUCUAGUGGCGCACGGGUGCGUAACGCGUGGGAACCUGCCCUUAGGUUCGGAAUAACUCCCCGAAAGGGGUGCUAAUACCGGAUAAUGUCUUCGGACCAAAGAUUUAUCGCCUUUGGAUGGGCCCGCGUUGGAUUAGCUAGUUGGUAGGGUAAAAGCCUACCAAGGCGACGAUCCAUAGCUGGUCUGAGAGGAUGAUCAGCCACACUGGGACUGAGACACGGCCCAGACUCUUCGGGGAGGAAGAGGGGGGGAAUAUGGGAAAAGGGGCAAAGGCCUGACCAAGCAGUGCCGGGGGAGUAAUGAGGCCCUUGGGGUUGAAAAGUUUUUUUCCCCGGGAGGAUAAGGACAGUACCGGGAGAAUAAGCCCCGGCUAACUCCGUG